rnacentral:rRNA from 1 species
AUUGAACGCUGGCGGCAUGCCUUACACAUGCAAGUCGAACGGCAGCACGGGUGCUUGCACCUGGUGGCGAGUGGCGCACGGGUGAGUAAUACAUCGGAACAUGUCCUGUAGUGGGGGAUAGCCCGGCGAAAGCCGGAUUAAUACCGCAUACGAUCUACGGAUGAAAGCGGGGGACCUUCGGGCCUCGCGCUAUAGGCUUGGCCGAUGGCUGAUUAGCUAGUUGGUGGGGUAAAGGCCUACCAAGGCGACGAUCAGUAGCUGGUCUGAGAGGACGACCAGCCACACUGGGACUGAGACACGGCCCAGACUCCUACGGGAGGCAGCAGUGGGGAAUUUUGGACAAUGGGCGAAAGCCUGAUCCAGCAAUGCCGCGUGUGUGAAGAAGGCCUUCGGGUCGUAAAGCACUUUUGUCCGGAAAGAAAUCCUUGGCACUAAUACGGUCGGGGGAUGACGGUACCGGAAGAAUAAGCACCGGCUAACUACGUG